ACAACCAGGAUGUUGGCUUAGAAGCAGCCACUCAUUCAAAGAGUGCGUAAUAGCUCACUGGUCGAGUGAUCCUGCGCCGAAGAUUUCCGGGGCUAAAACUUACUACCGAAGCUACGGCAUCAGUAAUGAUGGGUAGGGGAGCUUCCCAUACGGGUUGAAGCAUGACCGUAAGGACAUGUGGACAGUAUGGGAGUGAGAAUGUUGGCAUGAGUAGCGAGAUGUGGGUGAGAAUCCCACAGGCCGUAAACCCAAGGUUUCCAGGGGAAGGUUCGUCCGCCCUGGGUUAGUCGGGACCUAAGCUGAGGCCGAAAGGCGUAGGUGAUGGACAACAGGUUGAUAUUCCUGUACUACCGAUAACCGUUUGAGAGAAGGGAUGACACAGUAGGAUAAGCUAAGCACACUGUUGGUUAUGUGUGCCCAAGCAUUGAGGCAGUCAAAGUAGGCAAAUCCGCUUUGAUAAUGCUGGGAUGUGAUGGGGAGCGAAAUUUAGUAGCGAAGUAGCUGAUUUCACACUGUCAAGAAAAGUCUCUAUCGAGGUUAAAGGUACCCGUACCGCAAACCGACACAGGUGGGUGAGGAGAGUAUCCUAAGGCCAGCGAGAGAACUGUUGUUAAGGAACUCGGCAAAAUGACCCCGUAACUUAGGGAUAAGGGGUGCCACCAUCAGGUGGCCGCAGAGAAUAGGCCCAAGCGACUGUUUACCAAAAACAUAGGUUUCUGCUAAGUCGCAAGACGAUGUAUAGGAGCUGACGCCUGCCCGGUGCUGGAAGGUUAAGGGGAUCUGUUAGAGUAAUCGAAGCAGUGAACUUAAGCCCCAGUAAACGGCGGCCGUAACUAUAACGGUCCUAAGGUAGCGAAAUUCCUUGUCGGGUAAGUUCCGACCCGCACGAAAGGCGUAACGAUUUGGGCACUGUCUCAACAACAGACUCGGUGAAAUUGUAAUUCCGGUGAAGAUGCCGGAUACCUGCGACAGGACGGAAAGACCCCAUGGAGCUUUACUGUAGCUUGACAUUGGGUCUUGGUACUACAUGUACAGGAUAGGUGGGAGGCUUUGAAACCAGGACGCCAGUUUUGGCGGAGCCAUCCUUGGGAUACCACCCUUGUAGUACUGGGACUCUAACCAUAGGCCAUGAAUCUGGUCUUGGGACACUGUCAGGUGGGCAGUUUGACUGGGGCGGUCGCCUCCCAAAAGGUAACGGAGGCGCUCAAAGGUUCUCUCAGUACGGUCGGAAAUCGUACGUAGAGUGUAAAGGCAAAAGAGAGCUUGAUUGCAAGACAUACAGGUCGAGCAAGGAUGAAAAUCGGACUUAGUGAUCCGGUGGUUCUGCGUGGAAGGGCCAUCGCUCAACGGAUAAAAGCUACCCUGGGGAUAACAGGCUUAUCUCCCCCAAGAGUCCACAUCGACGGGGAGGUUUGGCACCUCGAUGUCGGCUCAUCACAUCCUGGGGCUGUAGUAGGUCCCAAGGGUUGGGCUGUUCGCCCAUUAAAGUGGUACGCGAGCUGGGUUCAGAACGUCGUGAGACAGUUCGGUCCCUAUCCGUCGCAGGCGUAGGAAAUUUGAGAAGACCUGUCCUUAGUACGAGAGGACCGGGAUGGACGUACCUCUGGUGUACCAGUUGUCCUGCCAAGGGCAUGGCUGGGUAGCUAUGUACGGAAUGGAUAAGCGCUGAAAGCAUCUAAGCGCGAAGCCAACUUCAAGAUAAGAUUUCCCACCGCAAGGGUAAGACCCCAGAAAGACUAUCUGGUUGAUAGGUCGAAGGUGUAAGUGCAGCAAUGUAUUUAGCUUAUCGAUACUAAUAGGUCGAGGACUUGACCAA
rnacentral:rRNA from 1 species